rnacentral:misc_RNA from 1 species
GAUGAAGAACGCAGCGAAAUGCGAUAAGUAGUGUGAAUUGCAGAAUUCAGUGAAUCAUCGAAUAUUUGAACGCACAUUGCGCCCCUUGGUAUCCCGAGGGGCAUGCCUGUUCGAGCGUCAUUUCACCACUCAAGCCUGGCUUGGUGUUGGGCGACGUCCCCUUUGGGGACGCGCCUCGAAACGCUCGGCGGCGUGGCACCGGCUUUAAGCGUAGCAGAAUCUUUCGCUUUGGAAGUCGGGGCCCCGUCUGCCGGAAGACCUACUCGCAAGGUUGACCUCGGAUCAGGCAGGGAUACCCGCUGAACUUAAGCAUAUCAAUAAGCGGAGGA